rnacentral:rRNA from 1 species
GCUCAGGACGAACGCUGGCGGCGUGCCUAAUACAUGCAAGUCGAGCGGACAGAAGGGAGCUUGCUCCCGGAUGUUAGCGGCGGACGGGUGAAAGUAACACGUGGGUAACCUGCCUGUAAGACUGGGAUAACUCCGGGAAACCGGAGCUAAUACCGGAUAGUUCCUUGAACCGCAUGGUUCAAGGAUGAAAGACGGUUUCGGCUGUCACUUACAGAUGGACCCGCGGCGCAUUAGCUAGUUGGUGGGGUAAUGGCUCACCAAGGCGACGAUGCGUAGCCGACCUGAGAGGGUGAUCGGCCACACUGGGACUGAGACACGGCCCAGACUCCUACGGGAGGCAGCAGUAGGGAAUCUUCCGCAAUGGACGAAAGUCUGACGGAGCAACGCCGCGUGAGUGAUGAAGGUUUUCGGAUCGUAAAGCUCUGUUGUUAGGGAAGAACAAGUGCGAGAGUAACUGCUCGCACCUUGACGGUACCUAACCCAGAAAGCCACCGGCUUAACUACGUGGCCAGCAGCCGCGGGUAAUACGUAGGUGGGCAAGCGUUGUCCGGAAUUAUUGGGCGUAAAGGGCUCGCAGGCGGUUUCUUAAGUCUGAUGUGAAAGCCCCCGGCUCAACCGGGGAGGGUCAUUGGAAACUGGGAAACUUGAGUGCAGAAGAGGAGAGUGGAAUUCCACGUGUAGCGGUGAAAUGCGUAGAGAUGUGGAGGAACACCAGUGGCGAAGGCGACUCUCUGGUCUGUAACUGACGCUGAGGAGCGAAAGCGUGGGGAGCGAACAGGAUUAGAUACCCUGGUAGUCCACGCCGUAAACGAUGAGUGCUAAGUGUUAGGGGGUUUCCGCCCCUUAGUGCUGCAGCUAACGCAUUAAGCACUCCGCCUGGGGAGUACGGUCGCAAGACUGAAACUCAAAGGAAUUGACGGGGGCCCGCACAAGCGGUGGAGCAUGUGGUUUAAUUCGAAGCAACGCGAAGAACCUUACCAGGUCUUGACAUCCUCUGACAACCCUAGAGAUAGGGCUUUCCCUUCGGGGACAGAGUGACAGGUGGUGCAUGGUUGUCGUCAGCUCGUGUCGUGAGAUGUUGGGUUAAGUCCCGCAACGAGCGCAACCCUUGAUCUUAGUUGCCAGCAUUCAGUUGGGCACUCUAAGGUGACUGCCGGUGACAAACCGGAGGAAGGUGGGGAUGACGUCAAAUCAUCAUGCCCCUUAUGACCUGGGCUACACACGUGCUACAAUGGACAGAACAAAGGGCUGCAAGACCGCAAGGUUUAGCCAAUCCCAUAAAUCUGUUCUCAGUUCGGAUCGCAGUCUGCAACUCGACUGCGUGAAGCUGGAAUCGCUAGUAAUCGCGGAUCAGCAUGCCGCGGUGAAUACGUUCCCGGGCCUUGUACACACCGCCCGUCACACCACGAGAGUUUGCAACACCCGAAGUCGGUGAGGUAACCUUUAUGGAGCCAGCCGCCGAAGGUGGGGCAGAUGAUUGGGGUGAAGUCG